UCCACUCUCAUCCCUCUUCGGAUACAGUGCCGGGGAAAUGCCCAAGCAACAUCUCUCUCAAAACAGCAUGGGCUUGACUGUGUUCAAAAUGGAGCAGAGGAAGGCCUUACAGCUUUGGCUUGGCCUGCCCUUGUACAUGGUUCCUAAUGGAUUGUUCCUGAGAGAAUGAAGCAUGUCAUCAUCCUGCAAUGUACGAAGCUAUGGUGGAGAUUGCAGUUUGCUUGUGGGUUUUCAAAGCCACCACACUAUGUUUUUUAGAGAGCAUGAUUUUUCUCCCUUGCUUUCACUGACAGUAGCAACAAAAGGAUGCCUGAACCCAAGUAGUGAUGUCACCGGCACUAGCCUUUCCUUUGCAACACCUCACACUUUGAGCUCCCUCUUACCCUUGAAAGAGAGUACAUGUAGUGGUCAUGGGAAGAAGAAAGACAGACCCAGGGGAAAGAUAAUAAAAAAUUCAGGACUAGCAACUGCCAGAAAUCCAAGGUAAAUUUUUUCUAAGAAAAAUUAAUGUUACAGUUCAUCUAUUCUCUCACUUGAAUGCUAACUCCUGACAUCACAAACUUAUCUCUGAUGGGGCUGUACAUGGGAUCUG